rnacentral:rRNA from 1 species
CCUACGGGAGGCAGCAGUCGAGAAUCAUUCACAAUGGGGGAAACCCUGAUGGUGCGACGCCGCGUGGGGGAAUGAAGGUCUUCGGAUUGUAAACCCCUGUCAUGUGGGAGCAAAUUAAAAAGCUCGUACCACAAGAGGAAGAGACGGCUAACUCUGGGCCAGCAGCCGCGGUAAUACAGCGGGCUCAAGCGUUGUUCGGAAUCACUGGGCGUAAGGCGUGCGUAGGCUGUUUCGUAAGUCGUGUGUGAAAGGCGCGGGCUCAACCCGCGGACGGCACAUGAUACUGGGAGUCUAGAGUAGUAGAGGGGGAAGCGGAAUUCGCGGUGUAGCAGUGAAAUGCGUAGAUAUCGAGAGGAACACUCGUGGCGAAGGCGGGUUCCUGGACAUUAACUGACGCUGAGGCACGAAGGCCAGGGGAGCGAAAGGGAUUAGAUACCCGUGUAGUC